CGAGGGCUCCAAACACGACAAAGCGCGCUUAAAACGAGGUUAGCGGCUCCUGGAGUUGUAUUCGGAAAUUAAACUGUGGUAGAUAAACGGAUAAUGUUUUUCCCCGAGUCACAGGACGGGAAAUUCGGGUUUGUUUACCCGACGGUUGGUAGGAUGAGGCGCUGGUUAGCUCUUACCUGUCGCUGCUUGUGUGUGGAACUGGUGGUGGAACAAGGGGAGGGUUGAAUGUUAGCCAGCACUGCGCCGCCGGUCCAGGGCACGGGCGCUCCAGUCCCCGCAGAGCUGAGAGACUUCCCCCCGCCUCCAUCUCUCUCGCUCUCCUUCCAGUCAGCGCGCAGCUCUCUCGAUCCGCUCAUUUCUCUUUCCAGAGAGACAUCCGCAUUUUCAAUCUCUCCGCUGCUAUAGCUGCUCUCAUCACGAAUGGGUCGCCUGGGUCUCGCUUCCAUUUGGAUUAUAAACUCGGCGCUCUCAAACCUGCAUGCGCAUGUAGCCUCUCGGGCUUGUUUUGAACACAUUUUGUGUAGCCGUGAUGACCAUAUGAAGUUUUUAUAAAUAGUGAAUUUGAUUGAAUAUGUUCCAGAGUGAUUUCUGUUUUGAUUUAUGCUUUUAAAUAAAGAAAGAAAAGCAGUUUUCUUGAAUUCACUCAAACUCCCCACGUGCAUGCAUGAUGUUAGAAGUGAGCUACUGUUGUGUACUUUAAACAUCUUUUUGGUAUAUUCAGUCUGACAGCUACAUCUUUUUGUCUCGUUAAAUAAUUAAACUCCACCUUGUGUGUUUGUGGGCGUCACCUGCGCGGUCCAAUCAAGACGUUCUGAUUUGGGGAAAACAUGAUUUUCCAAUGAGCGCGCUGAUUCGUUAAACAUCAGAGCAGUGACGUGCGCAUUUUAUUGGGAUGCCACAGUCCAGCAGCGAUCGAGAGCGCCUGCCUCCGGAAACAACACACCGGCCAGUGCUUUCCAAGCCUCUGGCUGUUAUAGUACUACAGACCUAUCGGUAACGUUACAUCUGCACUGCCACCAAACCAAAAAUCAACUCACUAGAUAUUUGAAAUCAUUUAGCACUGUCAAUACAAACUAUUCACCCAAUCAGUACUUAAACUGUUGCAGGAUCUCCCUUCAAUAAAACACAUGAUCUAGUUUUUUUUUUUUUUUUCAAGUUUUGAUACUAAGGAAAUUUAUUUAUGAUUAUUAAAACUGUUUUCAACACUGAUAAUAAUAAAUAUUUCCUGAGCAUCAAAUCAGCAUUAUUAGAAUGAUUUCUGAUUUCUCAUGUUGGAUGGCUGAACAUAUAUGAUAUACAAAUGUUUUAAAUUAAAAGUAAUUUUCAAUUUUAAUAUUUCACACAAUUACACCUUUUACUGUUAAUUAUCUGAAUGAAUACAUUGGUAUUUCAAAACAAUAAAAUAAAAAUCAUAUACUAACUUCUACUCUGAAUUGUAAAGUAUGUAUACUACUCGUGGAGAAAAAAAAAUAAUUAAAAAGGGAUUAUUUUAACCUUUUGAUAACACUACAUUUGAAGUCUUUCUACAUUUUCUGCAAAAAAAAAGGUCCUCUUAAAGUAUCCUUGGUUGUGAAUCACUGUUUUAGUUUUCUUCUUUUUUAAUUUUCAGUAAAGCAGGUCCGUCUUUAACGUGUAAGGAAGGUGGUAGGACUCUCAGAAUGGGCUGGAAACUUGAGAAGGUGGGUGGAGGGUUCUUGCCAGGGUGGGCCAAGCUCAUGAUUGGGUGGGACAGUCCCGCACAGGCCUCCUGUGAAGUCAAGCCUGCUGAAAAAUUGGAUUUGUUUGCAAGCUCCCAGGACUAAUUUAGGACACAAAUGUAAGGUUUUCUUUACUAAGAAUUAUUGUAGAUGUUUUAAAGAAUUUUAAUCAUUAAACACACAUAAUCACACACCAUAACAGACCAAGCAUACAUAAAACCAAAUAUUCAUUUAUACUCUAAAGUAGCAAAUCUUUGCAAUAGUAACUUAUGCUAACAUUCUGUAUUUGUAAGCCUAUAAUAUUUACAGGUAUGGUGUCCCUGAAACAUUGAAAUUCUAUAUAAAGGCACAUUUUGCAUAGGCAUCAUCUGUUAAAACAGGAUAGGAUUUACAAUCAGGCUGGUGUGUAGCUGACAUGCUUCACAGUGACAUGAGAUUUCUUGCAUGACACCUUGAAUACAUAAAACAAAUAAACACCAGGAUGUAUAGAUCCCAAAUGAAAAACAAAAACAAA